rnacentral:ribozyme from 1 species
GCUGCUCGGAACUUUGCACACCUCUCCGUGGUGAGUAGCAGGCAACGAUCUUAUGGUCGGCGAAGAUGUGAGA